rnacentral:rRNA from 1 species
UGGAGGAAAGUAGGGGAUCGAAAGACCUUAUGCUUUUGGAGCGGCCGAUGUCUGAUUAGCUAGUUGGUAAGGUAAAGGCUUACCAAGGCGACGAUCAGUAGUUGGUCUGAGAGGACGACCAGCCACACUGGGACUGAGACACGGCCCAGACUCCUACGGGAGGCAGCAGUGGGGAAUUUUGGACAAUGGGCGAAAGCCUGAUCCAGCAAUGCCGCGUGAGUGAAGAAGGCCUUCGGGUUGUAAAGCUCUUUCAGUCGAGAAGAAAAGGUUAUGACUAAUAAUCAUAAUUUCUGACGGUAUCGACAGAAGAAGCACCGGCUAACUACGUGCCAGCAGCCGCGGUAAUACGUAGGGUGCAAGCGUUAAUCGGAAUUACUGGGCGUAAAGGGUGCGCAGGCGGCUCUGCAAGUCAGAUGUGAAAUCCCCGGGCUUAACCUGGGAACUGCGUUUGAAACUACAAAGCUAG